rnacentral:lncRNA from 1 species
AUAUGGUUGAAAUUUAUGUUAAAAGUCUGUUGGAUCAAAGUUUUACUUCAAGUAUCAUAUAAACUGAACACUAUCAACGAUCCAUGAAAAUCGUGUCAAGAGUUAGAUAAACCUUGCCAAACCAACAUUUGCAACUUGUAAUCCUUCCAUACAUCAAAUAAAGAUGACCUAUUGCUUAUAGUAUCUGAUAAAAGGACCUAACCACAAAAACUUAACCACGACUUAUAAAUCAUUAAAAUGAAGUCAAUCAGAUGAACAUAACCAGUCUAACAUGUAAACCUUACAAUAUAUCUGAACACUAAACAGAGCACACAUAUUGCAUGUAAUAUCUUAGAAAGAGACAAACUUUGAUGACCUAAAGUUUACCAGUCAACAAAAUGAAAAUGAGGUCAAGGUCGUAUGAACUCUUAGUGAAUGAUGGUCUUGUACAUCAUUAAAUCAUUCUCUACACCAAAUAUAUAUUUCACCAAUUGUUUGUUAUAUCUGACAAACACCUAAUAUUGAAAACUACAAGUUGACAAAUGAAUAACGAAAAUAAGGUCACGGUCAGAUGAAGUAACGUGUGUCAGACAACAAGCCUUCAUCUACAUCAAAUAAAGUAGACCUAUGGCUUGUUAUAUUAAUAUUUUGAAAAUUAAUGCAUGCAUUUCUGACAGAGGGCCCUGGUCAUCUACUUACUGAAAUAAACAGCUUAUACAAAUAGUUCAUGUCCUCAUCACCAGCUGGAAUAGCAUCAAUCUACUACAGAAAUAGCAAGCAAGACAAAAAUUGAAAUAAAACACAUUUUAUAUUGGUUUUUACUUUAUUUUUUGCAUUAGAAACAUAAAUAUUUUUGAAAUAAGAUUUAAUUACAUUUACAACAAUUCAUUCAGAGAGUUAUCCGCCCAUACUCCAACACAUAUCAAUUAAAUAAUGCAGUAUCCACACACAUUCUGAGAUACAAAUGUUCAAUCACUAGCACACAAUAAAAUGGAAUGAUUUAAAAGUAAAGGCUAAUUCCUAGUCAUUUGAGUGCUUCAUUUGAUUGUAUCAUUAUCACACUAACAAAAAACUCCAAAGAUCAUGACAAUAUAGUUCCAUUGAAAAUUUUAUACUUGAUUUCAUAAAAGUUGCUAUUUUCCAAAUCAUAUCCAUGCAAUAAUAAUUCUGGAAAAGAAGAGGGGCAUUUUAGAGUCCGAGAGUCUAAAAAUUAAGCUGAAAUUUAAAAUGCACAUAGAGAGGAUCAUUAAAAAGCUUAAAAUGUAAUACUAAAACACUGAAAUAACGGCUCACAAAUAAAUAAUGAAAAUUGUUUAUUUUAUAGAUACCCCGACUUCUAGGUAGCAUCUAAAUCAGAGAUGUGUUUAAAGUUUCUUGACAAUAUUUCUGCAUAGUUUAAUGGAUAAAAGUCAUUCUAAUUAAAUCAAUAAACCGAUGUUCCCCAUUUUUUGUUGUUAAAUAUUCAAUAUUUUAUACAGAUAUUCUCAACAUGUAAAUUUUCUUUCUUAUUUUUUGGGCUUUGGUACUUGUUAAAUUUUCAGAUUUAUGUGGUUGAAAUGGGAUCACUGUCUAUUUAUGCAUUUCAGAUAUUACACAAGGGAAUUUAUCAUGUAUAUUUUUUUGGAGUUUUUGCUUUGCAUGAUUCAUUUAUUAUCUCCCCUUUAAAAAGACUCUAAUCCCAAACUUAAAAGGGCAUGUAAUCAAUUAUCUUUGUGGUAGUUUUAACCACUAGAAGAGCUUUACUUAUAUCAGCAAUAAUGAUUUUGAAAGAGUAUAAUUUCCCACUUUAAACAUUGAUAUGAUAAGAAUUGCAUUGACUAUGGGUUACUCAAAAAAUUUAGACAAAUGAAUAUGAUUUGGAAUAUAUCUCCAUAUAAUUACCAAUUCUAUACCUUAAUUUAAUGCACUCUAUAUAAAUAAAUUUGUGUAGCACUUCAGUCAUAUAUAAUGAAAAUAUAGAUAAUAAAAAUGUAUAUCACAUAUAUAGUAAUGAAAUACCACAGUUGUCAAACUAACUUGUGUUGAAGGUACUGACCAGAUACUGACCAUUCACAUGAUAUAAUAUAGAAACAUUACUAAUGACUUCACAGAUUCAACUGAAUUAUUCAGAUUUAAUAACUUAAUGAAUGAAAAACUUAGCAAAAGCAGAAAAUCAAAGAGUCAGGAAUAAUACUUUUUAUCUAACAAUACACAUCUCUUGUCAAAUGUUUUAACUUUAAAGUGCUCUGUAAAGAAUCUGAAAGCCAAAGCAUUUCACAAAGGCAUGAGAUUAUUAUUCACAUCAGAAUUUAAUAUAACAGCUGAAUAGUCUUCCUUUACCAUUAUCAAAUUCAAAAUGGCUUUUUAUUUUUCCCAGAACAGGACAAAGGAAAUAAGAAUAAGACACCAUAUCCGGCUCAUACUCAUAUUAUAUGUCCAAGGAACUGCAAAAUCUUAGACAAAACCUUAAAUUGUCAUACAUUUUAACCCUUUCCUCCAUUGACAUUUUUUUUGCCUCAGUUGCUUCACAUAGUAUUUUCAAUAAAAGGC